rnacentral:sRNA from 1 species
UCGAACUCGGCGAAGCUCCUAUUCGGAGAA